rnacentral:rRNA from 1 species
UUGAACGCUGGCGGCAGGCCUAACACAUGCAAGUCGAGCGGAUGAAGGGAGCUUGCUCCUGGAUUCAGCGGCGGACGGGUGAGUAAUGCCUAGGAAUCUGCCUGGUAGUGGGGGAUAACGUCCGGAAACGGGCGCUAAUACCGCAUACGUCCUGAGGGAGAAAGUGAGGGAUCUUCGGACCUCACGCUAUCAGAUGAGCCUAGGUCGGAUUAGCUAGUUGGUGGGGUAAAGGCCUACCAAGGCGACGAUCCGUAACUGGUCUGAGAGGAUGAUCAGUCACACUGGAACUGAGACACGGUCCAGACUCCUACGGGAGGCAGCAGUGGGGAAUAUUGGACAAUGGGCGAAAGCCUGAUCCAGCCAUGCCGCGUGUGUGAAGAAGGUCUUCGGAUUGUAAAGCACUUUAAGUUGGGAGGAAGGGCAGUAAGUUAAUACCUUGCUGUUUUGACGUUACCAACAGAAUAAGCACCGGCUAACUUCGUG